rnacentral:rRNA from 1 species
GAUGAACGCUGGCGGCGUGCCUAAUACAUGCAAGUCGAGCGAACGGACGAGAAGCUUGCUUCUCUGAUGUUAGCGGCGGACGGGUGAGUAACACGUGGAUAACCUACCUAUAAGACUGGGAUAACUUCGGGAAACCGGAGCUAAUACCGGAUAAUAUUUUGAACCGCAUGGUUCAAAAGUGAAAGACGGUCUUGCUGUCACUUAUAGAUGGAUCCGCGCUGCAUUAGCUAGUUGGUAAGGUAACGGCUUACCAAGGCAACGAUGCAUAGCCGACCUGAGAGGCUGAUCGGCCACACUGGAACUGAGACACGGUCCAGACUCCUACGGGGGGCAGCAGUAGGGAAUCUUCCGCAAUGGGCGAAAGCCUGACGGAGCAACGCCGCGUGAGUGAUGAAGGUCUUCGGAUCGUAAAACUCUGUUAUUAGGGAAGAACAUAUGUGUAAGUAACUGUGCACAUCUUGACGGUACCUAAUCAGAAAGCCACGGCUAACUACGUG